UCCCCUGUAGCUCAAUCGGCAGAGCGGGUGGCUGUUAACCACUAGGUUCGAGGUUCGAGUCCUCGCGGGGGAGCCA
rnacentral:tRNA from 1 species